rnacentral:tRNA from 1 species
GGGGACGUGUCGGAAUUGGCAGACGAGCAUGACUUAGGAUCAUGUGGGCUAAACCCGUGGGAGUUCAAGUCUCCCCGUCCCCA